UUAGCGUCUCCGCCGCCGCAGCCCUUCCAGAAAUCUCCAUCCCGAAACCUCCGCGCCCCUGCCCGACCCCGCGCAGCCUUGGCGUCGUGAUCGCCGCCUCUGCUCCCUCCUCCAUCCCGCGCAACAACGACGACCGUCGGGGCCUCGCCUGGCAGAUCAAGUGGGGAAUCCACCCGCCAGGCGUCUCCCUGACAGCGGUAGACGGUGGCAGCGAUGGGGACCGAGAGCGAGGAGGCCCCUUCCCCAUCCUCUACCCUCCCCUGCGAUUCCAGCAUUGGUGCCCGCAUCCCCGCCGUCCGAAGCAUGGCGCUCUUCGUCUCCUCCCUCGCCGCCGCCCUCUCCCACCUCUCCCUCCCAUCGACCUCCACCCCCAAGCCUCACCCGGCCUCGCUCCUGCGCCUGCGCUCCACCUACCGCCGCGCUGUUAGCCUCGCGCUCCGCGUCUCCGUAGGCGAAGCCGCCGAAGCCUUCGAGGCGGGCCUGCCCGCGGAGGAGGUGAUGGCUGUCGAGGAGGAGGCGGAGGAGGAUGCCCUGUUCGAUUUGGCAAAGAAUCAUCCGCCGCCAUCAACACCCUCCUCCCACUCCUAGAUCUCGUGCUCAUCAUUCGCUGCUCGCCAUCAACGCCCUCCUCCCCACGCUCCGCUUCGCUCCGUCGAUGGAAGGUGGCCGAUGCAGUGAUGGGUCGCGGACGCCCCCGCCAUCAACGCCCCUUUCCCCGCAAUCCCCUUCCAUCGUUGUCGCUCACCUUCCAUCGACGACGCUGCACUUCCUCGGCGCCCUCUGCCCACCUACGACUAUUAAAGAAAUCCAAAGGGAUGACAGAUGCGAGGCCGCCACCCGACACCCAUCCUCCUCGCAUAUUCCCUGUUUCAGAUUCGCGGAUUUGGAUCCUCCCGCAGACGUUAGUGGGAGAGGAGAAGAAGGAGGAGAAGGUGGACUACCUCAACCUCCUCUGCCCCAUGCCCUUCGAGGAGAUCCAGCGCGAGGCUCCCAGUUUGUCCCCUUACCCGUCCAGUUUUAACUCCAUAACCAGCUAGCGCGUGUGCAGUGCUGCGGCAUUGUGUAGUUUUCACUCGGUAUGCGCUGCCACGUGGUUGGCGAUACCCGUGGUAGAAUUGGUUGGUCGACGGAGAUUGAAUUUCUCGAUAUGGAUCAAGUUCUAGGCUGCUGCUUUAGUUUUACGGGGGUUCAUAGCUGGAUUUGAAAAUUAUGGUUCUUAGUUGAUUGUCAUUAUUACAUAGCAUUGAUAGAUGUGUCUUAGGAAUUGCUUGGCCAUUUGUGUACGACACAAGUAUCUUUUGCACACAGUGCCCACAGUGCAGCACAUUAACUGAUACUGCAGAUGUAGUUUUUGCUCUGAAGCAUUUGAUUCCACUACACCUGCUGUGUCUAGGAUUUGGUAUUUUGUUUAAUUAUUUUUUUAACAUUGAUAUCUUGUCACAAAUACCAAUUAUCCAUAUGCAUUGUGCCUCUAUCCAGAUGACUUAUGACUUGUUUAUUCAGUUUACCAGCUCACUGCCCAUGUUUUUUAUGCACAUGGAAUAAAUUGUAAGAAAAUCUUCUUGAUGCUUUUUUAGGCCUCCACUCAUGGCAUAAAUUGUAGUAUCUGAACACACAUCUUAACACAUUCCAUACAUCCCACAUGCACAUCAAUUAUUGCCCUUAAGACGUACACUAGAUUGACCCUAUGCACACAUAUACCUGCUGGAGAGGUUCACGAAGCCCUGGUUUGAAAUACGGGCCCGUUGCUGUCCCAUCAUGGCCCAAAGGCACUGGAGGUUGAUCUGGAAAUUAAUUUAGCGGCAUGCCAUGAUGAGGCACUCAUCAAACAAUCCUGAGUAUCGAAGAUUCAACCCGAGUUUUGGCGCAAAAAUCCUAGAGGCUGAUCUAGAAAUUGUUAUGGGGGCAUGCCACAAUGAAACACCUUUCAAACAAUCCUGAUGGUUGAACUCAAGUGAGCAGCUUACCUCACAUGCCAUGUUACCCAGCUACGAGCCCAUUCUCAUUUAGUUUGAUACUUGAUAUGACCUUUUAAUAUACUAAGGGAAUGGUAUUCUAUUAUUAGUUAGCUGGUUAUAGAAAACACAAUUUAGGCGAAGGGGUAAUCUGUUUUCUUGUGUCCAUGUGCAAACUGCUUUGCUCUUUAGUUCUUACCCAUGAGCUUUUAUGCACAUCUUUAGUGCCUAAGAUCUUUUCAUACUUCUUAUAGGUUUUGAUGCGCAUGGCAACUUGCUUGGUUCCUACUCCUACCUUAUAAAUAUUUGGCAAUGGGCAUUGCUCAUUAUACUUUGAUAACUGACAAAUGGCUAUAAAUAUAGUUUGAUCCCAUAAGCUGCCUUUCUGUUUUUUCUAGCUCCAAUAAAAUCUUCAGCAUUUCUUUCAUAGCCUUAGUCAAGUUCAACUGUUUAAGUAGUCUCCAUCAAAUAUUGUUCUAUCCGAAAGAGAUGAGAAGCACUUUAAGACAAAUGUUAUGGUUUCAUAGUUGUUUGAAAAGAGAUAAAAAUAAGAGGUAUAUUUUAUACUUAUUUCACCCAAACAACUUUCAGUUUUCUUACAGAUGCCACAUCACAACAGCCUUUUUACAGGCCACAACAACAUUUCCCCACAGCACAGCUCAACCAAACAGGUCCUGCUUCUGUGGCCAACUCCAACAACAUGAUCUGUCGAUUCCGAUCACCCUCAUUCACAAAUCACCGCUGCAAUGGUCCGUAGGCACAAUCCUUCAAAUUAGGGCUUUGGUUGCCUCCAAGGCUCCCACACUUUCUAACCUAUGAUUCUACAGUCACUUGUCCUUGUAUGUGGCAAUGAACCCACCUUUCCUAAGCACUACAUGCUGUUGAUGGUUGUUGACCUCUGGCGUCCUGAGAUCUGCAUGCUCCUCUGCCCUCAUUAAAAUCUUACAAUAGGCAAAUGCUUAUUUCCCUCUUUCUCCCAUUGAGUAAUUUCUGCCUGAGUCUAAGACCCGGUGUUCCCUACCCCACUUCAAUUUUGUGCAAGGCGAUGAAAAUACAUAUACCAAUUUAAGAAGAGAUUCCAAAGCCAUGAAGAUCGCAGAAUUCACUUGCCUAGGCCCAUUCGGGUUGAUGCAUAAUAGUUUAGUAGUGGUAUAUGUAUUUGAAUAAUACACUAUUUCAGAUAUCUGAUGUCAUUAUUUAGUCAGUAAUAAUUCUUGUGUUUUUAGUUACAGGUUGGUCUUUUAUUGUUUACUCUUCUUUGAGAGGUACCAGCAGUCCAUCUUCACCUAUGCCAUUUAAACACUCGCUUUUCUUCUAAUUUAUUCGAGUAAAUAUAUGGCACUCAAGUGCGAGAUAUUUUUUUAAUUAUUGUUUUGAUUGUCAUCUCUCUCCUCACCUAUAUUUUCAGUUGGGUCCAUCACUGGUUGCCCCUGGGCGUCGAAUACACAAUAUAGUUUGAAAUUGCAUUAUCAGCAUGGCAGCCACACCAACCCCCACCCUGCUCGGUGCUAGGUUUCUGGAAUACUGCCAAUAGACAAUUUCAUUUGCUGCACCGGAGACAAACCCAUCACACCCAGAUACAAAUGGAUACACCAUCUGGUGUGAAGGGUUCUAUUCCUGCAUGCAUCAAGUUUUCUGUGAAGGUUCCAGGUGAAAUACCAUACUAUGGUAUAUAUUAUGACCCACCUGAAGAGGUAUGUUCAAAUUUCAAACUAUCAUUCAAUGCAAUGUCUUAUCAUUUUCUGAUUCAUUAAAUUAUGUGGUGUUUUAUAUAGAUUGACAUUUCAAGUAUUUUAUCUAUUAGUUUUGUCAUGACAGCAUAUAGCUCAAAUAUUGAUUAUCCUUUUUCGGACGUACCCAGACCCCGUUGCCCCUUUCUGUUAUCUCUUCAAAUUCAUGUUGUGCAAUGCUUUUGGCGAGAAUUGGGGUUAUAUGAAUCAAGAAAUCGCACGGGUGGUUUUGGAUAAUGCGGCUCUUGGGUUGGGGAAAAUAAUUUUGUGCGUAGUGAGCAUAUAAAUUUACUAGAACUCAUAGCAGUAGCACAAUAUGUUCUGCCAUGUGAAUCACUACACAACUCUUAAUCACUAUAAAAACAGUGAAGCACUACACAACUCUAGGCCAGAUGUUUUUUGUGUUUAUUUUUGCUUGAAGGUGUUCUGUUUUUACCAACAGACAAUACUUAACUGACAUAUAAUUAAACACACUGGGGUCCAAUGAAAACUGACAUAAAUAUCUGCACAAUAUGCUUCUGCCUUGGUUAGUCUGGGUUGUUGAUUUCUUUUUUAAUACACUGGGUUCAUUUCUAGAUAGAGUGAGUUCUUUCAUAGUGUUUUGAGUCUAUACAUGUGUUACAUAUAGCAUAGGUUUACUAGAAACAAUGGAAAAUAUGUUUUUGUUGGGCUCUUAACAUACCUGUGCUCUGCGUAGUUAGCAACAUAGGUGUAAAAUGAACAGUCUAAGUAUGAAUGGUAAAAUGGACAAUCUGCUCUGGUAAAAUAAACAAUCUGCUCACGGAGCUAGACGACCGCAUUGACUUCAGGUUCCAACAAUGGACCUACUGCUCCCUACCCUCUACUGACCAGGAAAUGGCUGACUCGGAUAACCCUGUUCUGUUUGUUUGUUUUGAAAGUCUUUGCUGGGAAUAGCAGCUGCUCAGUUUUUGCUUGUAGUUGUAUGUAGAUAUGCAAAAGGAAGAGUUUAAAUCAUAUACUUUAAAGACAAAGUACAUGUGCUCUGUGUAUAUGCAUUAAACUGACCUUGUUCGAUCCUGUAGUAUAUUUGAAGUAUUACAAAGAGGCUGUAGUAUAUUUUUAGAAGCUAACAAAGGACAUUGGGUAUUACAAAGAGGCAAUGGUCAUGCCCCAAACAUAAUGACAUGCUGUUUUUUGUUUGAGCAGAAGUAUAUUUGUAGUCCACAAUGCAAUGUCCAAACCAAAAUGAGUAAAAUGAACACAAAACAAGUAAAUAUGUUCUAAUGGUGAUUUCAGAUGAAGACUAUGGAAUCCCCUCUGCUGCAUUCAAUUAACUGCCCCAAAAAGACAGGUAAGGUAUGACAUUGGGUAUCAAAAAGGGGCAGUGGAUAUUCCCCUAUACAUCGCGGGUUAUUGUUUAUUUUUCUCACCACAAGUAUUUUUGUAGUCCAGAAUGCAAUGUCCAAACCAAAUUGAGUAAAACAUAACACAAAAUGAGUAAAUAUGUUUUAAUGUUGAUUAUAAAUCAAGACUAUGCAUCCACUUUGCUACAUUAUGUUUUCUGUGAUUUUUUGUUUCUACCUAUAGGUCAUCUAUUGUGCCUAGCUAUAGCCUGAGUGACUACAAAGCUAUGAUGUAUGGGAAAUACUGAAAUUCGAACGGUAAAUUUGAAUGUAUUGUGUUCCCUGAAAACAUGUAUACCUCAAAUAGCUGCUUUUGUAACAAUGAAUAUUUACUUGUGUUCCUAGCAGCCUGUGAUGAAGAUGGAUAUAUUUUCGUAUGACUAUUCACCUGAUUUUGGUAGCGUCGCCCGUGAGCUGCUUGUACCUACCAAGGCCUUUCCAUCACCAUAAUUUUGACUCGAUAUGCUUCUACCACCGCUACAACAAAUGAUAGAUCUAACUACAUUCAGUACAAAGCAAAUCCUUUAGCAAAUUUAAAUAUGAAUUCAUUAAGAUUCACAAAUGAUAUAGUAAGGACCAUACUGGUAUUAUCUCUUGCAUGUGGCAAAUCUUCAUUUUUUGUGUGCAUUAGUGGCCAAUUCUCUGAUUGCAUAUGUCCCUAAGAUUCAUCUAUUUGAGAAACUGAUAUUUUCACUUUUAAGGGAUAGCCAUAGAACUUGAGGAUGAACAGAUUGAUCGGGCUCUAUUGAAGAAUGUCUUGGAUAUUUUUAUUAAAAUUAGGUUGGGUCAAAUGGAGUGUUUCGAGAAUGACUUUGAAGAUUUCUUGCUCAAGGAUACUACAGAGUACUGCUUUGUCAAGGCUCAAAGGUGGAUCCUUGAGGACCAUGCCUAGAUUACAUUAUUAAGGCCGAUGCUUCUUUCAAAAGGCUGAGGAAUGUUUGAAGCGGGAGAAAGAGUGAGUUGAAAAGGCUGAGGACCAUGCUUCUUUCAAAAGGCUGAGGAAUGUUUGGGUACAAAUCUGUAGCACAAUUUCUAAUUGCUAAGCAUAAUAACAAACAAUUGCCCACUGAUAUAGUGAACAGCGCGGAGGAGCUCCAAUAAUCUGAUGUGGGAACAUGAGCUGGCAUGUUUGAGGAUAAGAAGAUAGGUGAUGAGUUCUUUUCCUUUAUUGUUGACUAUAAAGAUCUGAAGGCAUGUACUAUUCUAUUGAGGGGAGCAAGUUGAAAAUUGGUGCCCACUAAUAGUCUGGUGAUCUAGCCGAAUGAAAUUGUCGACAAGGCCAUUAGCAUCAUGCAGGUUACCUCCAAGCAUCUCAUGUAUAUCUGCAAGGAGAAUCUGCACCCACGAAAGGCAUUGAGUGCAAUAGAGGUGAAGGAACUGCGCGAAGCCCUUUAAGUUAUUUAAGUUAUUGCUGAAGGUUUGGACCUAGAUUCACUCUUGUGCUAGAGUUUGGUGUAGUCCUCGAUUAUAAACUGUGUACAAUGUUAAUGUAGUGACAUAGUUUGUAUGAUGCAGUUCAUAGUGAUGUUUGAAGGUAUUUGUAUAAACUGUGUCCUGGACAUAGUUUGUAUGAUGCAAUUCAUAGUGAUGUUGUUUGAAGCUGUUUGUAUGAAUUAUGAUGUCUGAUGCAGUUUGUAUGAACUAUGUCAUAUUAUGUUGAAUGAAGCUAUUGAA